rnacentral:rRNA from 1 species
CCUACGGGUGGCUGCAGUGGGGAAUCUUGCGCAAUGGGCGAAAGCCUGACGCAGCAACGCCGCGUGUGCGAUGAAGGUCUUCGGAUCGUAAAGCACUGUCGGGAGGGACGAAUAAGUCUGCCGUGAAUAAUUGCAGGCGAUGACGGUACCUCCAAAGGAAGCACCGGCUAACUCUGUGCCAGCAGCCGCGGUAAUACAGAGGGUGCAAGCGUUGUUCGGAAUUAUUGGGCGUAAAGCGCGUGUAGGCGGCGUCGCAAGUUGGGUGUGAAAGCCCU